rnacentral:rRNA from 1 species
GACGAACGCUGGCGGCGUGCUUAACACAUGCAAGUCGAACGGAAAGGCCCUGCUUUUGUGGGGUGCUCAAGUGGCGAACGGGUGAGUAACACGUGAGUAACCUGCCCUUGACUUUGGGAUAACUUCAGGAAACUGGGGCUAAUACCGGAUAGGAGCUCCUGCUGCAUGGUGGGGGUUGGAAAGUUUCGGCGGUUGGGGAUGGACUCGCGGCUUAUCAGCUUGUUGGUGGGGUAGUGGCUUACCAAGGCUUUGACGGGUAGCCGGCCUGAGAGGGUGACCGGCCACAUUGGGACUGAGAUACGGCCCAGAUUCCUACGGGAGGCAGCAGUGGGGAAUAUUGCACAAUGGGCGGAAGCCUGAUGCAGCAACGCCGCGUGCGGGAUGACGGCCUUCGGGUUGUAAACCGCUUUCGCCUGUGACGAAGCGUGAGUGACGGUAAUGGGUAAAGAAGCACCGGCUAACUACGUG